rnacentral:tmRNA from 1 species
GGGGAUGAUUGGCUUCGACAGGGAGAUCGAUGCAUAUACAUGCAUGGCGGAAGUGGGUAUCUUCCCAAAAACACCCAAACUCUAAGUGCAAACAAAACUGCACGGGGGGUUCUCUCGCCUAUUCAGGUGAAGGACCUCGGCUUUGCUUUCGCGUAAGCCAAGGCAACCGUUCGUUCAGAGGUCUCCAAUACUCUGAUGCGAGCGUCAUAUCAUUGGAUACGGCUUCCCUAUCACACCGUAGGUUAGUCUAAAGAAAGAGUGUCCGACGCGAAGCGAUCUUGUGCGUUCCAUACUCUCCGCGUUCAAAACCUUUGAACGCCCUACGCCUUGUAGAUGUGUGUAUGCGUUUCUCUUUGCACCGCGGUUCGAUUCCGCGCAUCUCCACAG